AUUAAAACUGAAGUCCUGUCUUUAUCUACAGAACAGGUAUAAGCACAGGCAGCAGCAUAUGCUUCCCCAGGUCUGAGCAGUGUACCUCAGACUUUGUUCUGAAGAGAUCACCUCUGAGCAACAAGGGUAAUUGUCCUUAAACUCUCAGUAGAG
rnacentral:sRNA from 1 species